rnacentral:rRNA from 1 species
GACGAACGCUGGCGGCGUGCCUAAUACAUGCAAGUAGAACGCUGAAGGAGGAGCUUGCUUCUCUGGAUGAGUUGCGAACGGGUGAGUAACGCGUAGGUAACCUGCCUGGUAGCGGGGGAUAACUAUUGGAAACGAUAGCUAAUACCGCAUAAUAGCAGUUGUUGCAUGACAACUGUUUGAAAGGUGCAAAUGCAUCACUACCAGAUGGACCUGCGUUGUAUUAGCUAGUUGGUGGGGUAAAGGCUCACCAAGGCGACGAUACAUAGCCGACCUGAGAGGGUGAUCGGCCACACUGGGACUGAGACACGGCCCAGACUCCUACGGGAGGCAGCAGUAGGGAAUCUUCGGCAAUGGACGGAAGUCUGACCGAGCAACGCCGCGUGAGUGAAGAAGGUUUUCGGAUCGUAAAGCUCUGUUGUAAGAGAAGAACGAGUGUGAGAGUGGAAAGUUCACACUGUGACGGUAUCUUACCAGAAAGGGACGGCUAACUACG